CAGGUGGUCCUUUGGUUCCAGAGGUGGAUGAAGAAGGAAGCAAAUCAGAAUUUGAUACUUCGGUUACUGCCCUGCGUAGCCAGUCAGUUGUAUAAUCUAGACUGUCUGCAGUGAUGGAUAAUUUGGAAAAGAAACAGGUUGGCAGAAAGUUGCUGUGAGAAAACUAUUUCUGUGAAAUGGGACCAUACAGUGAAUACUCAUCAGAUUGAAUUUUAGACAGCUGAAGGGAUCUUUCCAAUUGAAAUUCAUCACCAGAUGCUGACUCAAAAAUAAAAGCUUCAAGAGUUGACAUUUGCCAGCAAUGGUUGUCAUACUAUGAAAAUGAAGGUGCAGAAUUUCACAGCAUCCUGUCAGCUGAUGAAACAAGGGCUCACCAAGAAACAAAGUAUCAGUCCAUGGAAUAUCAUCACAACAGUUCAGUUUUUAAAAAAAAUCAAAACACAGGCUUCAGCAGGAAAUUUCAUGUUUUUUUGUGGCAGAUUCAUAUCUAUUUCUUUGAACUAUCAGCUCAGAAUGCUACACUGCAACACUCAAAAUUUUGAAACAACAAUUCAGCAGGAUUCAAAAAUACAAGGAAGAAUUUUUUCUGCAGCAUAAUAAUAGAAGGCCUCAUACCUGAAAAGCCAUCUAAAAGGCUUUGAAAUUAGUUGAAUCGCACUGUCCCCAUCCACCAUAUACCCCAGUAUCUAACUAGGAACUAAGUUGAGUCAGGGUACCAUGUAACUUCCAUCUUUUCUCAAAAUUUAAAGACUAAUUUUGUGGGCAUCUGUUUAACUCAAAAGAAGAGGCGGAAAGGAUUAUUGGGGCCUGGUUGUAAAGACAAACUAUGAAGUUAUUUUGUGACAACUUUAAGAAUCUAGUCAAUCAUUCACAGAAGUAUGAUGAAUGAUAGUGAUUAUUUGGAGAAUAACAAUCUGUAAAGAAAGAACUCAUUUCAAUAAUUAUUUUCCUGUUUUACUAAUUAAAAUAGUCCUAUUUAAAUUAACUCCUUCAUGGAUUACUGUCUUGUCAUGGCGAAGGGGCUUGCGUAACUCAAUGAAGCUAUGAGCUAUGCCGUGCAGGGCCACCCAAGAUGGACAGGUCAUAGCAGAG